GAGGAUUUGAACAGGGGCCUCCCCCCUCUUUUCUCCCCAACAGGCAGAGAGGGGAAUUGAACCUGGAUCUCCUUCAUUCCAGAAAUUCUGGAUCUGUCAAUCCUAAUCAUGACUUCCACGUAUGCUGGAGCCAGAGUUUUCAGCUGCUGGCUGGCUCAUGGCUAUGGCACUGACUCCAACAGGAACUGAGAAUGACCACGAACCUCCGCAACUUCCAAGACAGGACAGAUGGCCACUAUUUACCUGUCUCCAAUGCAAAUGAAGCAUAGUGGAAUCAAAACAAUGGAAUCUCUAUUUACAUAGAAAUCAACAACGGGAUAGGAAGUUCACAGGAAAGGAACAACAGCAUGAGGUCAUCCUGUCUCUUGAAACAAAGUAAUUUAACUUUGGAAGAUAUAAGGAAAGACAGAAAACAUAUUUGACAUUCAUCACUAGACAGACAAGAAAACUCAAGCUCUUCCAAGCUGACAAAGAUGAGUCCUUAAACUAAGGGGACUGAUGUAGUCUCUGGAAACUGAAUAUAGGUGAGAAACUCACUUAGGCAAAAGUCUUUCACCUAGGAAGACAAGGAAAGCCAGCUCUUUAUACUUCUGUGAACGGUCCUGAGGGAAACA